rnacentral:rRNA from 1 species
GAUGAACGCUGGCGGCGUGCCUAAUACAUGCAAGUCGAGCGAACGGACGAGAAGCUUGCUUCUCUGAUGUUAGCAGCGGACGGGUGAGUAACACGUGGAUAACCUACCUAUAAGACUGGGAUAGCUUCGGGAAACCGUAGCUAAUACCGGAUAAUAUUUUGAACCGCAUGGUUCAAAAGUGAAAGACGGUCUUGCUGUCACUUAUAGAUGGAUCCGCGCUGCAUUAGCUAGUUGGUAAGGUAACGGCUUACCAAGGCAACGAUGCAUAGCCGACCUGAGAGGGUGAUCGGCCACACUGGAACUGAGACACGGUCCAGACUCCUACGGGAGGCAGCAGUAGGGAAUCUUCCGCAAUGGGCGAAAGCCUGACGGAGCAACGCCGCGUGAGUGAUGAAGGUCUUCGGAUCGUAAAACUCUGUUAUUAGGGAAGAACAUAUGUGUAAGUAACUGUGCACAUCUUGACGGUACCUAAUCAGAAAGCCACGGCUAACUACGUG